rnacentral:rRNA from 1 species
GAUGAACGCUGGCGGCGUGCCUAAUACAUGCAAGUCGAGCGAACGGACGAGAAGCUUGCUUCUCUGCUGUUAGCGGCGGACGGGUGAGUAACACGUGGAUAACCUACCUAUAAGACUGGGAUAACUUCGGGAAACCGGAGCUAAUACCGGAGAAUAUUUUGAACCGCAUGGUUCAAAAGUGAAAGACGGUCUUGCUGUCACUUAUAGAUGGAUCCGCGCUGCAUUAGCUAGUUGGUAAGGUAACGGCUUACCAAGGCAACGAUGCAUAGCCGACCUGAGAGGGUGAUCGGCCACACUGGAACUGAGACACGGUCCAGACUCCUACGGGAGGCAGCAGUAGGGAAUCUUCCGCAAUGGGCGAAAGCCUGACGGAGCAACGCCGCGUGAGUGAUGAAGGUCUUCGGAUCGUAAAACUCUGUUAUUAGGGAAGAACAUAUGUGUAAGUAACUGUGCACAUCUUGACGGUACCUAAUCAGAAAGCCACGGCUAACUACGUG